CAGCCGCCGCGGGAAUACGAAGGGGGCUAGCGUUGCUCGGAAUUACUGGGCGUAAAGGGAGCGUAGGCGGACAUUUAAGUCAGGGGUGAAAUCCCGGGGCUCAACCUCGGAAUUGCCUUUGAUACUGGGUGUCUUGAGUAUGAGAGAGGUAUGUGGAACUCCGAGUGUAGAGGUGAAAUUCGUAGAUAUUCGGAAGAACACCAGUGGCGAAGGCGACAUACUGGCUCAUUACUGACGCUGAGGCUCGAAAGCGUGGGGAGCAAACAGGAUUAGAUACCCGAGUAGUCCCUGUCUCUUAUAC
rnacentral:rRNA from 1 species